GAUCCGGCAGGGGAAAGGGAAGAGCUGGUAGACGAUGAAGAAGAGGAGCUAUGUCGCUUUGGCAGUCUUAGAUGCUGCUGCGCUAGGGUUUCAUUGUCAUCGUCACUGUCGCCAUCGCCAUGGCGUAGUACCAUAGCCUAGCAUAGCAUGGCAUGGCAUGGCAUCGCACACAGCAGUAGCUUCAGACAUAAGUUAGCAAUCGUGUUGCCGUUACUCCGUUUUUGCUCACGAACGUCGUUGCGUUACCAUCGCAUGUCGAUGGUGUUUUGAGACUGUGCAUGGGAUGGGCCGUGGUUUGAUCAUUCUUCUUCUUCGGCUCUCACUCGUGUGGAUUGCGUUUCUCUGUGAUCCUGUCUGUAUUACCGAGAGUAGUCCGAGUAUCGGUGUCUGGUUUCAUGGUGGUGCUCUAGCAGGGGAGGGGCGUUGCUGGGAUGACACUCCUGGUCAGUUGGUUGCGCCUGAGGUUGUAGUUGGAAGGAGCCCGUGGCUAUAGUAGUGGUUGAUUCCCUUGGCUGCCUGCCAACUCUUGUUAUUGUGGGAAGAGUAGUUGGAAUGAGUUGUUAAGGGGAACACUAGGGUUUCGCAUAUCAAGGUGGGAGUUUAGGUGCAUUUUGUGUCGGGUUUUUUCUUAGUGCUGUGUAGUGAAGGCAGUAGGGUUGGUGGCAACGGACUUUGGUUGACACGGAGAUUAUGGGGAUUAAUGACUGCUAGGGUGGCUUUGUUGCGUCUUCCGUACUGUAGUGGUCUCUUCUUUUUCGUUGAGUGAAGCAUGAGAUAGCCAGAACAACACGCAAUCCGCUGAUUCUUUCUUUCGGCUGGAUUUUCUCUGGUGUUGUAUUGAAGCCGUGACCUUAAAUUUUAAAAGGUCCUGUUUAGUGACUUCGUCGUUGCACCUGGGGAGCUUGUUGUUUGGAAUCAGGGUUUCUUGCCUACAGCUGCACCAACGAGACCUUGUCGUUAGUUUAUUUUAGUUUAUUUUAUUUUAAACGUGAUGCACUUCCCAGCGCCAUCUAUAUCUCGGGUUUGCAACUUUGAAGAGAUAACUCAGCUUAGGAACAACAUUUAUUCUUUGCACGGAGGGUCUUGGGCUCCGCACCGACAACUUUUUAAAUGUGCUGAAGUUUUACAUGUCUCACCGAGUAGCUCUUGUUAUUGGAAAUCGUAUCUUCACUUCUCUGGGGUCAAGUGUGCACUUGGUACAGUGCUAUUAUUAAGCUUCAUUUCUCCUUGUAUACUUUAGUGGCCAGUGUGCUGUUUUAUUACUGCCGCCAUCAUUACCGUCGACUCUACGACUUGUCGGUAUUCCUUAACUGCACUAUCUUGCCGGGCCUUUUUCUGUACAUCAAGUGCAAUGAUAUGUUUUCAAUUAAAAUCAAUUCGGCAUUAUGCCCAUCAUUUUAUAACUUCAGCUUCAGCGAGUCAAACAUAUGACUGGCAUGCCUCUUGGUUCCAAUUGGCCGAUUUCUAUUUCUAGUUCCUCUUUCUGGCAUUGUGAUUGGAUGGCGGAGAGGAUUCUGGUUUUGCACAUCACACUUGAAGCAACUAUCUAGGUUAAGGGGGCAGAAGUUUACAUUUUGAUUGAAACUGGAACAUUACCAAGUUGGAUUCAAAUAGUGGAACUGAAACUUUGCUGCUGCUAGCAAUGGCGGACUUAGCUUCUCGCUGCCGGAACCAGUUGGGUUCAUUUCGCAUUAGGGAACUUAAAGAUGUUCUUGCACGACUGGGCCUUCCCAAGCAAGGGAAAAAGCAGAUCCUCAUGGAGAAGAUCAUGGGUUUGAUUAAUCCGGUUGAGAAGCAAUCGCUAACGAAAGGUUCCAAGAGUAGCAAAAAAGUUGUUUCAAGGGAAGAAGCCAUCGCUGUAAUUGAUGAACAGUACAGGAAGCUUCGAAAUUCUGGAGCUGAAUUAUCUAGGUAUAAAUCUGCGAAAUCUGGAUCUAGCAGCGUUUACCCUUCAGCUGGGCAUGAAGAGCGCAGAGUGCAUGAUGAGACUAAAGUUCAUUGCCCUUGUGGGAGUAGCGUGGAAACCGGAAAAAUGAUUCAGUGUGUUGAACCUAAAUGUCGGAUCCGGCAGCAUAUGAGUUGCGUAGUUUUUCCGGAGAACACAGUGGAUGGAGAUGCGGUUGUGAUGCCCCCGAACUUCUAUUGCGAGCUUUGCCGCAUAUCCCGGGGAGAUCCAUUCUGUGUAGCAGUUUCACAUCCUCUACUGCCUGUAAAGCUUCUUUCAUCCACAGUCAAAACGGAUGGAACCAACACUCUCCAGAACAUAGAUCAGCAGUUUACUUUGAGUGCCGCAGACCAUGGACUUCUUCAGAAACCACAUCAUGAUCUGCAGGUCUGGUGUGUCCUCUUAUGCGACAAGGUUUCCUUUCGCAUGCACUGGCCUUCUUACGCUGAUUUACGAGUAAAUGGCAUGAACGUGCGGGUUACUAAUCGACCUGGUCAGCAACUGUUAGGAGCGAAUGGCCGGGAUGAAGGACCUAGUAUCGCUGCAUGUACCAGAGAGGGAAUAAACAGGCUGAUCAUGUCGUCCUAUGACGCUCGCCCGUUCUGUUUGGGAGUGCGAAUCAUCCGCCGCCGCUCUCUGGAGGAGGUUGUUAGUAUUAUCCCUAGUGAGAGGGAUGGAGAGCCUUUUGAAGAGGCGAUGGCCCGAGUUCGUCGAUGCAUCAAUGGAGGGGGUGGUCAGGGAUUAGGGGCGGACGGUGACGGUAGUGAUAGCGAUUUGGAAGUUGUGGCGGAAUCUAUCUCUGUUAACUUACGCUGUCCGAUGAGUGGGUCACGAAUCAAGGUUGCUGGUCGUUUUAAGCCAUGUCUACAUAUGGGUUGCUUUGACCUUGAUACAUAUGUGGAAAUGAAUCAGCGAGCACGGAAGUGGCAAUGUCCAAUUUGUCUGAAGAACUAUUCUAUAGAACAUUUAAUCAUUGACCCUUUUUUCAAUCGGAUUACAAACGCGGUGAGAACUCUGGAUGAAGACAUCACUGAGGUGGAGCUUAAAGCUGAUGGUUUUUGGCGGCCCAAACUGGAAGGGAAUGCUAGGAAUGGGGAGCCUUGGCGUCCAUCACCAGCCGCUGCUGCAGCAGCUGUUACCAAUGGGAUCAAAUCAGUACCUGUGUUGUUUCCUAACCAUCAUAUCAAGGUUGAAGAGGGACUGUCUUCUCAUGACCAUCGCGCUUUGCGAUUUAGGCGGACGUCUGAAGGCCAAUGGGCUUUGAAUGGGACGAGGCGCCUCAAUGCUAAUCCUAACCAUCAAGUUAUGCCCUUAGCUAGACUUUCAAGAAGCAGCAGUGCUACUGACAGUAAUUUAAAAGGAGACGAGGAUGAGCACAGUGUGAAUCAAGACCCAAGUGAGAAGAAUGUUAUGUUCAUGGAUGAUAACGAUGAUGCUGAAUACUCAUCAAAACCUCGGAAUGAGCCUGGAGUAACGUGGCAAACUAGCUGUGAUGAGCCUGCAAAUGGAGCUGAUGUAAUUGUUCUUAGUGAUACAGAUGAUGAAGGUGCAGAAGAAGAAGCCGUUGUUGGGUCCUCUGGGGCAUCAAUGUACGCGGAAUCUGAUGUUGGCAAUGGGCGAGUGCGUUCUUCGGAGGUUAGCAUACGCAAUGAUACGAAUGGCGAUUCGUCAGGGCUUGCUCUUGGUUUAGAUAGUACCGAUGUCACUCUUGCAAGCAACUCAGCAUGUCUUACAUUUGGCUCUCUGCUGAGCACUAGAGUUCCUGAUGAAGGGACGAGUAACAAUAGUGGGUUAGGCUUGCAGUUAGAUAACAAUAGCUUCUGGACAGUACCUGCUGCAAUUCCUAGGUACUAUGGUACCCCAGCAGAGACGGUUGGGCUGCAGCGUCCUUCUCUUGUGCGGCCAACACCACUGCAAGCUGGAGCUGGUCCUGGAUUUCUGUCUACUUCCCUUGUCAGAAACGAUUCGUUGCAAUCGGGCUGGAAAAGUUUCAGAGAGUCGCAUGCUCCCAUACAUUAUGGGAUUACAGAUGGUUGUAGUAUGGACAAUGACACAACUGCUUCGCCUCUGCAAAAUUUUCUGCCAGCGCAGCCAGCUCGAGCUGAGACAUUCUUGCAGGUCCAAGAAAAUUUACGGGAGCCAUUCCUUCCUGAAGAAGAUAUCGACAAUUCUUGGUUUUCCCUUAGUCUUGGUGGAGGAGAAAAUCUGGUUAAAUCAACUCCAACACAGAAUCCACGUACUAGUUCAAUGGAACGCUAUUCGCCAAUUCUUCAACCGAGAGUUGCUGAAAUUGAUCCCCAGGGUAGAGGUCUUGAUAACAAUGGAUCGUCCCAACGCCUUGUAGACUCACGACCUCCAGUGCGCAGUCAUUUUACCGCAGACGGCCAUCCUUUUCCUGUAAGGCCACGUAGUAGCCCCAAUCAUGCACGAAGGGUUUACAGCCAAGUUCGGAUGGAUGAUUCUGAGUAGAUUAGAAGCUCCACUCUUGUCUGCUAGUAGACCGUGACAAGAUUGUGCAAAAUACGUCUUGAUUCUGCAUCAACUGCAGUCUCUCCAGGCAACUGUUGUUGUGUAGUGAGGCAUAUUCCUCUCUACUUGGAAUCGAAGGAGCGUGGCAAGCAUCUACAUUUGGCGACUUUGCUAGUUACCAUGCCCAGUUUCUUGUCUACUACGCUACUCUCAGGACUUGAAGAACAUAAAUGGAGUUUCGACUGUGCAAGUUCGCUGCAUUACCAGUUCAGGAUUGUACCUUAUUGCUUACAGGGAGUUAAGGCAGAGAGUGGCUUCAUGCCUAUGCACCUUUUGUUGAGUUUGUAAUAUGAAAUUGUACAAUAUGUGCUACCUUGAAGAAGAUAGUUCACCCAUGAUUAUUGUAUAUAGUUCCCCGAGGGAGAUAUAACAUAAUUUUAGAGGAAUUCACUUAA